ensembl:lncRNA
CAGCAUUGCACAAGGAGAGUGUAUGCAAUCGUAUCAGAUGUAUUUUUUUUUGUUUGUUUGUUGCUUUUUUUUUUUUUCAAUUAAAUUGCUUCUGUUAAUGGCAAUUACUAAUGGCUAUUGUUUUAGCUAAUAAAACUGGUUUCUUUUUCCAGUUUACCUGAUAUACACUUAAUUGAAAUUAAAUUAAUAAAUAAAGCACCUUGAAAUGGAACAGUAUUGUACCAGUGCUGUGCUAUCAUUGUUUUCAAAGAAAUUAUGCAAUAAUUACUGUUUUAUUCCACCUGCAGCAUCUAAUGAAGAAUUACAUAUAUGCACACAAAUAUGGCCAUGCAAAAAUAAAGGACCAUCAGGUUCACUGUUUCUCAAGGAGAGCAGCACCCAGCUUUGCAAAGGGCUCCACAGUGACAACUGACUUAUUUAAUAGCCAGCGGUGGCAAAGCUCUGAACAAAAUAAGGUUCAGCAUGGGCAUGAGACCUGUGGUUUCGAUCAGCUGGAGACAUUUGCACGUGUGAAGAAGGGUGACAGAAGGUGGGCAGCUGGAUCUACUGGUUCAUCUCAAGCUCAUCUCCAACAUAAAUGACUACACCCUAUUUCUUUUUGUGCAACUCCUCUGGAAAAUUACUUUAAUAAAAUACAUGUGAAAAUAUUAAGUAGGAACAACUGUGAAAAUCAAAUGGAUCUACUUAUGACAACCAAGAAAAUGAAUAAGCAAUUCAUAGUCUAUGAAACUGUAAGGCAACGGAAACGUCCUUGAUUUGAUCAAGUAAAGGCAAACUCAUUUCAUAGUAUCUCUAGACUUUGACUACCAGUGAAGCAGAGCUCUCUUAUCUUUAGAACAAAGAAAGAGAACAAAAUUCAAACAGGAUUAUAUUUUAAGACAUAAAACUAUCACUCUGUUGACAACUACUGAUACCUGCUGUCAAUAUAAAAGAGGGAAAGGAAAAUUACUUAGUGUAGUAGUUUGAAUGGAUGAUUUCUCAGUGUCAAAGAUUUAAUAAAACUACGUAGAAAAACAUAAAUAUUUUAAAUCUUCUUUUAAGAAUAACAUUUUCUCUCUCUUUUUUUUUUUUUUUUAACCAGAAUUAAUCAUUUUCUCAUUUGCUGCUCAAUGUUUUAUCCAUACAUAAAAAUAUUGAUAUCUGUGCAGUGCAUCAUAGCCAAACCCUACAGUAAAUCAUUCACAGUCCCAAAUACAAGUAAAUGGCAAGCUACCACUUAAACAACUCUUCUGCUAAGCAUCUCCUCAUUGUGCAAAGAGUCACAAAAUAGAGUAACUCUGCUAAAAUAAAGUUCCCUCAUAGCUCUACAGCUGUGAAACAGUAGUUCCAUUUAGCAUUUCACAUCUGAUCAGCAGAACAGGCUUCAGGUCAGGCUCCAGCAACACCUUUCAUCUUGAACUCUGUCAGGCAUGUUAACUAGGACUCCUUUUUUGGGUUUACAAGACAAAAUUGGUAUGAUUACUGUUCCACAUUCAUUUUUUUUUUUUCUUUAGAAAAGCUUUUCUAGUUCAACUUUUCCUUCAUGUUGAGGGAACUGAUAAAACUUUGUAGAUGUGAUAGUCUAAGGAGGCCUAAGUAAUGGUUCAUGACAGAGUGUAUGGAUUUUUACCACAGCGUUUAUAGAUCUCUUGGAAAAGGGAAGACCUUGUCUUACAGGGAAUCCUCCACAGCUCUAAUCCAUGCUGUACAAGAUACAAUAGUGCAGGAACUGCACUGCUAAGCAAGCCCAACAGCACAGGACAUGAAACACAGAGUGUAGAGGCAGCUAACAACAACAUUGGGCAGUGGAAACAUUAGCUGAAAAAAUGCCACAAGUAUUUAUAAUGCAUUGCUACCUAUGCUAAGUGAAUUCAUGAUAGCUUAAUUGCAUGCUUUAUUCUCUUUUUUUUUGUUUGUUUGUUUUUGUUUUGUUUUAUAUUGUAUUGGCACAGAUAUAUUGGCUCAAAUAAAAAGCAUUUAUUUUAACUG